UUGCCAUCAUUCAGUUGGGCACUUUAAUGGGACUGCCGGUGACAAACCGGAGGAAGGUGGGGAUGACGUCAAGUCCUCAUGGCCCUUAUGGGUAGGGCUUCACACGUCAUACAAUGGUCGGUACAGAGGGUUGCCAAGCCGCGAGGUGGAGCUAAUCUCUUAAAGCCGAUCGUAGUCCGGAUCGGAGUCUGCAACUCGACUCCGUGAAGUCGGAAUCGCUAGUAAUCGCGAAUCAGAAUGUCGCGGUGAAUACGUUCCCGGGCCUU
rnacentral:rRNA from 1 species